GACAGAGGGGGCAAGCGUUGCUCGGAAUUACUGGGCGUAAAGGGCGCGUAGGCGGGAUGGCAAGUCGGUCGUGAAAUCCCUCGGCUCAACUGAGGAUCGUCGAUCGAUACUGCCGUUCUUGAGGAUUGCAGAGGAGACUGGAAUUCCCGGUGUAGCGGUGAAAUGUGUAGAGAUCGGGAGGAACACCGGUGGCGAAGGCGGCUUCCUGGACCGACACUGACGCUGAGGCGCGAAAGCGUGGGGAGCAAACAGG
rnacentral:rRNA from 1 species